CGAGUACGAGAUGCUACGGCAUCGAAGCAGUCUAUGUCAUACUUCCAAGAAAAGCUCGCACUGUCAAAAACAAAUUAAUGCCUGUACCAUAACCGACACAGGUGGGUAGGUAGAGUAUACUAAGGGGCGCGAGAUAACUCUCUCUAAGGAACUCGGCAAAAUAACUCCGUAACUUCGGGAGAAGGAGUGCCUUUUUAAGGCUGCAAUAACCAGAUCCAAGCAACUGUUUAUCAAAAACACAGGUCUCCGCUAAGUCGUAAGACGAUGUAUGGGGGCUGACGCCUGCCCAGUGCCAGAAGGUUAAAGAAGUUGGUUAGCCCUGCGAAGCUGAUGACUGAAGCCCUGGUGAACGGCGGCCGUAACUAUAACGGUCCUAAGGUAGCGAAAUUCCUUGUCGGGUAAGUUCCGACCCGCACGAAAGGCGUAAUGAUUUGGAUACUGUCUCGGAGAGGGACUCGGUGAAAUAGACUUGUCUGUGAAGAUGCGGACUACCUGCACCAGGACAGAAAGACCCUAUGAAGCUUUACUGUAACUUGAGAUUGAAAUUGGACUUUAUUUGCGCAGUAUAGGUGGGAGGCUUUGAAAGUAUUCUUGCGGGAAUAGUGGAGCCAUCAGUGAGAUACCACUCUUGUAAUGUUAGAUUUCUAACUUUGUAUCAUUAUCUGGUCAAAGAACAGUCUCAGGCGGGCAGUUUGACUGGGGCGGUCGCCUCCCAAACGGUAACGGAGGCGCACAAAGGUUUCCUCUGAACGGGUAGAAAUCGUAUCUAGAGUGUAAAGGCAUAAGGAAGCUUGACUGUGAGACCUACAAGUCGAGCAGGGACGAAAGUCGGUCUUAGUGAUCUGCCGGUGCUGAGUGGAAAGGCCGUCACUCAACGGAUAAAAGUUACUCUAGGAUAACAGGCUGAUCUCCCCCAAGAGUUCACAUCGACGGGGAGGUUUGGCACCUCGAUGUCGGCUCAUCGCAUCCUGGGGCGGUAGUACGUCCCAAGGGUUGGGCUGUUCGCCCAUGAAAGCGGUACGCGAGCUGGGUUCAGAACGUCGUGAGACAGUUCGGUCCAUAUCCGGUGUAGGCGUUAGAAUAUUGAGAGGAGCCUUCUUUAGUACGAGAGGACCGAGAAGGACAUACCUCUGGUGUACCAGUUAUCGUGCCAACGGUAAACGCUGGGUAGCUAUGUAUGGAGUGGAUAACCGCUGAAAGCAUCUAAGUGGGAAGCCCACCUCAAGAUAAG
rnacentral:rRNA from 1 species